CGGGGGUUGCCAAGCCAGGUCAAAGGCGCAGGGCUUAGGACCCUGUCUCGUAGGAGUUCGCGAGUUCAAAUCUCGUCCCCCGCAU
rnacentral:tRNA from 1 species